rnacentral:rRNA from 1 species
UUCGCAAUGCCCGAAAGGGUGACGAAGCGACGCCGCGUGUGGGAAGAAGGCCUUCGGGUUGUAAACCACUGUCGGGAGUUAAGAAAUGCAAGGAUAUUAAUAGUGUCUUUGUUUGACUAAGGCUCCGGAGGAAGCCACGGCUAACUCUGUGCCAGCAGCCGCGGUAAUACAGAGGCGGCAAGCGUCGUUCGGAAUUAUUGGGCGUAAAGAGCACGUAGGCGGCUAUGUAAGUCGGUUGUGAAAGCCUUCCGCUCAACGGAAGAACAGCAUCCGAUACUACAUGGCUUGAGUGCGGGAGGGGAGAGUGGAACUUCUGGUGGAGCGGUGAAAUGCGUAGAUAUCAGAAGGAACGCCGGCGGCGAAAGCGGCUCUCUGGCCCAUAACUGACGCUGAGUGUGCGAAAGCUAGGGGAGCAAACGGGAUUAGAUACCCCGGUAGCCCUAGCCGUAAACGAUGGGCACUAAGUAGAGGGGUUUU